AAUAAAUGUCCUGUGAGGAAUGACGGUGACAAUUUGGGGGAUAAGACUGGUAAUGGCGCGCAAGCUAGCUUUGGUACCAAGGAGGAGCUUCCCAAGGACCCUAUGGCUUCUCAAGAGACAUUAGCAGUGCCAAAUACAGAAGUAAAUGUACCUGUGCAGCAAGAGUCUGGGCUAGGUGAUUCAGGAUUGAUUAAUGGCCAUGAGAAUCCCAUCCCACCGUAUGAAAGUCAUCAGUGGCUAUUACAGGUAUAAAUUUAAAGAAAUGAAUAAUUGCAUUGAGAGAAACUUAGUGUUUUGGUUGUACAACAAGGACAUUAUUCGAAGUUCAAUGGGAUGCAGUAGCAUGUACUUGUAUAUACUCAUGAGAGUAUGGUUUAAGAUGUUAGUUAAAUUCUUGGAUUUCAAUAAGACUUUGCUUUGAGGUUGAUAAAUUUUUAAUAUUUAAAUUUUUAGAUAUUUAUCAUAACUUGUCAUCGUUACACUCGGCUGAAAUGUGCAGAAAGUUUCAAUAGUUUUUGAUUUAUAUAACUAAAAUCUUAUUGAUUCUUAUUCAUGCUAAAAUUCAAAAGGGUCUCUUGUACAGUUGCAAAAUCUACGACUAGAAUAGUCUAUGCUAUACCACUGCAGGUAACACUAGUAGUGAAAUCAAAUUCUGAACCACAAAUUGAACCUCUUAUGCCAGCUAAUAAAUUGCAACAUUAAAUGUCAGAAGUUUUUGUUGGAUGUGAAAAUGUGAAUGGAUUAUAGCAAAUAAUUGAUUUUGUGCUGUUGCCCUUUUAUUAAUUCCUGAAAUUUUUGUUGAAAUUUUCU